ensembl:lncRNA
GAAUAAGUUCAUCACACAAGUUACUAGGUGAAAAGUCACGUAGACAUGUGCUUAAUGAUAUAUGAAAGAAUACAUUUCAUGUAGCUGAUCACAUACACAAUUUUCUUCUGACAGUGAAGCAUCGUCUCCAGAGUGACCUGAGCUGCUCACAUCCCAUGUGCCCACAGGAGAGAGAGUUUCUACUGAACCAGUUCAAACUGGUCGACAGGAAGAGAGGAAGCUACUGCCGGGACCUAUGGGUUCACAAUAACUCACAGGCCAAUGCUAUGAUGCAGCAGGCCACUGUCAUCCUGCAGGUGGAGGAAUCCAUGCCCCUCCUGCGUCGUUUCUACAACAACCAGUACAUCUCCAGCCACUGCUUGCCAUUGGUCGAACCCUCUGAUGAUGGCAUCACAAUAAAAUUGCAUUACCAUGAUGAGAUGGGACGAAUUACAGUGCAGAUCAAAGUGCGUUUCUGAAGAACAAAUUCUGAUCUAAAGUCCUGUGCUUCAGGUUCUUAUGGUAUCUGUGCGUCUGCAGGAGGUUCUAGACCAGUUCUUGGUCCUGCAGCAGGAGGCAGAGACCACAGGAGGUCCACGAGUCCAGAUGGACCAGGACCAGCAGAACCAGCAGGCGACCCAGAGGAAUAAGUGCCAGCAGAGCCAGGAUCUUCAGGGGCACCAUGAUAAACAGAAUCAGAACCAGGGCAAAAAAGACAAAUUUAGCCAAAUCCUACAGAAGCAGAACCAGGAGCUUCAGGCCUUGCGAGCAGAGCUGAAGGAGCUCCGGGCUCUGGUCUUGCAGCUGGUUAAAACCAAGACCAACUCUGUAUAAGAGCUGUGGGUUGGACUGGGAGGAACGUCAGAACCAUUGUUUCAUGUUUCUGUUUCUCCAGAAGCUCCUCUGGUCCGGGAUUUCCUGUUUAAUUCUUAUUUACAAACUCUCAUAAAUGAAAAUACCAGUGAGAAGUUUGCUAAAGGUUCAGAGUGUCAUUCAUCUUUAACUGUUUAACUGUUC